GGUGUAAUACACACACACGAUUAUUCACCAUUUUCAUUACAUGCCGUAUCCGGGAAGCUGCUGGAAUGGAAUGCAGCGAGGUACUCGGAUGAGGUAACUGGGAAUGACCUGCUUCUCCUCAUUUACAUCUGACUCAGAGCCAUUUGAAUCCUCUGCUUUAUGUGCGAUAUUGCCUUCUUACUUCUACAACACCCCGGAGAAGACGAGGAGAGCCAGCAGGUCUCUGCCCUGCAGAGGUUGUUUUAUCAGAGAGAAAAUGAGUGGAAGGUGAAGGUGGGAGCUGAAAUGUCCAGGUGACCUGGCCUGGAGAAAACCCAUCCUCCUGGCUGGCUGUGAAAAAUGGAUCACUCAGGACACAGACUCUUAACAGCCACCAAUCUCCAACUCCCUGCCAAGAGGAGGAUUUGGACUGUGGAUUUAUUAUUUGCCUUGCUAAUUUUCCAUGCAGAUGGCACAGGAAUAUGACAGCCAGUGGCUCUGGAGUUAAUUGUGAAAGGUUUUUUCCCUCUGGAGAAGAGCUGAGUGUCAAGCAGCAGCAGUGUGGGUCUGUUUUCCACCAGGGCUCCUCACAAGGAACCAACCAGGACAAUAAUUUCUGUCUGCUCAGCCUGUUCUGAAAUCACUAUAAAAUUAAAAUGCAGACAGGAGCCAGAAAUAAACAUUUAUUUAUCUCCCCAGUCCCACUGGACUUCAGUCUACCAUAAACAAUUACUGCAGCUAUAAAAAAGCAAAGCCCUCUAUUAUCAGCUGAUCCUCCCAUCGAGGCUGUAUCUGCCUGCUUGAUUUGAAUUUCAAUGCUAUUGUUUUGCGUGUGUUGAACUACAAAGAGAAGAAAAGCUUUUUGUUAUUCCUCUUCAUCAACUGAUCUAAUGCAAGAGGACAAUUACUGGUAAUUAUUUUUGCAGCAAUUAUGCUGGCCCAAACACCAGAAGUGCAAGCACAUUCCUUGUUAUUUAUUACAGAAAGAUCUCAAACCACAGCCUGUUUAGAAUGCACAGCAUUUCAAUUCAUGAACUUUGAUGAAACUUAUUUUAAUAUAGCUUUGUUUUCCUUAUUAAACGACAAGAAAGAAUAAUUACAACAGAUCUGGUAGUGCUUUAAUGUUGCUGAGUAUGUUCCAGCAGUUAACAUUCUCUGUAUAUGAACAGCACGGCUGCUCUAGAGGGGUUUUCUCAACUAAUUCCAAAUCUGUAAAGCCUGAACUUUUAUCAGAUUUUAUGCCUGGACCUGAAAACAAUUAAUUCUUUCCUACUAGUUGAAUUUAUCUCAAUCUGCAAGGAGCCAGUUGUCUUUUUAUAAAUCUGCACCUGACACAGGUUGUUGCACACUAAAUUUAAUAAAGUUCUGUGAUGAGAGAGGAGAUAUCUCUGCUUUUCUAAGGUCCCACUGUGGGACCUGUUCUGUAGUUUGGAUCAGGAAUUUCUGGGCUCUGUCCCCUGCCCAUGCUGGGUAUGAGCUGCACCUCCUGCUUUUCUGAAAUGCAGCUCCUGCCCUGCUCCUGUCCAGCUGGAUGAGCUUGGAAAACUCAUUCCCCACAAAGAUGGUUGGAGCUUGAAAAAUAUCAUGUAGAGAUUUGUAUUAUAUUGUUCAAGAAAUUAUUUUGCUCUGAAAUAUUUCUGCUUUGGGUUUUUUUUUCUGCUGUCUUUCCCUUGGUAUUACCCCAAAUGGAUUUUCCUGAGAAAAGGAAAAUGAUAAAAAACUUCGGCAUUUUUUGACCUGUGCAGGGUUGAGUUGGACUUGAAUGAUCCUGGUGAGUCUCUUCCAGCUCAGGAAAUUUUGUGAUCCCUCAGCCCCUGCUCCUGCCAAAGCAACUUUUUAUCCUGAAGAAAAUAAUCCAGACUGAAUUCAAUCAGGUUUUAAAUAUAUCAGAGCAGGCUGGGAGAAAAGUUCCUCCAGGUUUGUG